UACGUAGGGGGCAAGCGUUAUCCGGAUUCACUGGGUGUAAAGGGAGCGCAGACGGCAGUGCAAGUCUGGAGUGAAAGCCCGGGGCCCAACCCCGGAACUGCUCUGGAAACUGUGCGGCUAGAGUACUGGAGGGGCAGGCGGAAUUCCUAGUGUAGCGGUGAAAUGCGUAGAUAUUAGGAGGAACACCAGUGGCGAAGGCGGCCUGCUGGACAGUAACUGACGUUGAGGCUCGAAAGCGUGGGGAGCAAACAGG
rnacentral:rRNA from 1 species